rnacentral:rRNA from 1 species
AGAUUGAACGCUGGCGGCAUGCUUUACACAUGCAAGUCGAGCGGCAGCGCGGGGGCAACCCUGGCGGCGAGCGGCGAACGGGUGAGUAAUGCAUCGGAACGUGUCCCGUAAUGGGGGAUAGCCCGGCGAAAGCCGGAUUAAUACCGCAUAUGCUCUACGGAGGAAAGCCGGGGAUUCGCAAGGACCUGGCGUUAUGGGAGCGGCCGAUGUCCGAUUAGCUAGUUGGUGAGGUAAAGGCUCACCAAGGCGACGAUCGGUAGCUGGUCUGAGAGGAUGAUCAGCCACACUGGGACUGAGACACGGCCCAGACUCCUACGGGAGGCAGCAGUGGGGAAUAUUGGACAAUGGCGCAAGCCUGAUCCAGCCAUGCCGCGUGGAUGAUGACGGCCUUAGGGUUGUAAGUCCUUUUAACGGGAGAUAAUGACGGUACCGUAGAAUAAGCCCGGCUAACUUCGCGCCAGCAGCCGCGGU